GACGAACGCUGGCGGCGUGCUUAACACAUGCAAGUCGAACGAAGAGCGAUGGAAGCUUGCUUCUAUCAAUCUUAGUGGCGAACGGGUGAGUAACGCGUAAUCAACCUGCCCUUCAGAGGGGGACAACAGUUGGAAACGACUGCUAAUACCGCAUACGAUCUAACCUCGGCAUCGAGGAUAGAUGAAAGGUGGCCUCUACAUGUAAGCUAUCACUGAAGGAGGGGAUUGCGUCUGAUUAGCUAGUUGGAGGGGUAACGGCCCACCAAGGCGAUGAUCAGUAGCCGGUCUGAGAGGAUGAACGGCCACAUUGGGACUGAGACACGGCCCAGACUCCUACGGGAGGCAGCAGUGGGGAAUCUUCCGCAAUGGACGAAAGUCUGACGGAGCAACGCCGCGUGAGUGAUGACGGCCUUCGGGUUGUAAAGCUCUGUUAAUCGGGUCGAAAGGCCUUCUUGCGAAUAGUUAGAAGGAUUGACGGUACCGGAAUAGAAAGCCACGGCUAACUACGUG
rnacentral:rRNA from 1 species